AAAUUAUGUGACAUUUACUCUCCUUUCUUGUUCCUUUGACCUUGCAUUCUCCAGUGUCUCCCUCCUAUUGUGCUACUGGCUGAACAGAAAGCUGUUCUCCAAUGACCCAGGCCUGUCAUCUCGUCUUAUCCCAACUUGACUGAUGUUUGAGGAUACAGCUUUAAGAUAGUUCCUCAUUUGGCCUACCUGGAGCUGGAAGGCUGAACUGGUAGAUAAACUUCCGUGAUCUAUGAAUAAGCUCUGUGAUGAAGGGGACCUGUGUCAUUUAAUUCGUAAAUCUUGCAGAGGCGUUUGGGCAUUUCUAAGGAGGACUAAAGCUGCCACGAUGCUUCUGGAUGCACAUGGUACAUUGCAAAUACAAGUUUUUCACCUCAGUAAAAAAUGCAGAGACCAACAAAGUCAAAAGCUACAAACUUAAUCCUAGAGGCAAAAAUGAAUGAGACUUUCAUGGACAUUUUAGAAGAUGGAAAAAUAUUAAGGAUGUUUCACUUGAAGUUAACUUAAACAUGUGGAUUAAUUUGGAGAGCACUGACCUCUUUACAAGAUACGGCCCUCCACUUUCAGAAUGUGUAUGUCUGCUCAUUUAUUUAAAUAUUCUGUGUCCUUCAGACAUGUUUUUAGUUUUAUUAUAAUUUCUUCAUACUUCUCCCUAAUUU